UACGGAGGGUGCAAGCGUUGCUCGGAAUUAUUGGGCGUAAAGGGUAGGUAGGUGGUCUCAUUUGUCUGGGGUGAAAGCCUUGAGCUUAACUCAAGAAGUGCCCCAGAAACGGUGAGACUCGAGUCCUGGAGAGGGUCGUGGAAUUCCCGGUGUAGCGGUGAAAUGCGUAGAGAUCGGGAGGAACACCAGAGGCGAAGGCGGCGACCUGGACAGGCACUGACACUGAACUACGAAAGCGUGGGGAGCAAACAGG
rnacentral:rRNA from 1 species